AGCGCAGUAGUUAAAAUUUAAUAUUUGUUUUACACGCAAAAGAUGAAGUAAAGUUUUAUUUAAUGCUUCCAGCGCUA
rnacentral:tRNA from 1 species